rnacentral:lncRNA from 1 species
AGAACCCCUUCCUCGAGCCUCCUUAGAAGCCCUUACCAGCAUCCGUCCCUCAAAGGCUGUGGCCAGGACCCCACGGGCUGUGGACCAUGUACACCCGCAGUAAGGUGGUGGGCCCAGGCUUGGGCACUUCCUCCAUCUCUCGGGACCACGCUGGAGCUGGGCAGCGCAGGGAGCUGGGCUUGCAGCAAAACCGGAGACAGAGUUUGGAGGUGGCAGCUCCCGAGGGCCCCAAGAUGGAGAGGCAGGGGCAUGCUGACCAGGGAAGGUAAGUAUUUGCAAGCUGCCUUGGAAGCAGGAAGUCCUGUUCCCGAAUAUAAUCAGGCCCCAGGUACCUUCCUGGUCUUUGGAGUUUGAAAUCACAGAGGCUUAAUAACAGGGAUUUUGAAAGAGUUAUAUAUCAUUUACCUCUUUAAAAUCACCUAGGAAUUGAUUUAUUAUGCCUUGCACCUGCCUGUUUGCAGACCUUUAUAGCAGAUUCUCACCCCCAGUCCACUGAUUCUUAAGACUGGCUCAAGGAUUAAAAGAUGAAUACAUGCAACCUGGGCUUUUCAUUCUUUAUGAAAGUAAGUUUUUCUUUACUAGAGAAAGGGGUGGCGGCUCUAAAUGGGACUACCAUGCUAGAAUAAAGGCAAGAAGGAGCGUGAUGCAGAGGGUCCAGAUAGCCUUAAAGCUAUCUGGAAGUUCUCUAAUGGUCUAACUUAAAGUUUCCAUCAGUACAGCUGGGAGUGAGGACCCCAGACGCUCAAGAUUGGAUUGCAUGCUAAGCAAAGCAGGGACUCAUAGGAGGCGUUUAUUCUUGAUCUGCUGUUUAAGGACUGACGGUGGCAUCCUGAACUCGAGCUCCCCCCCCCAAUUUUUUAUUAGAUAUUUUCUUCAUUUACAUUUCAAAUGCUAUCCCGAAAGUCCCCUAUACCCCCCCCCCCGCUUCCCUACCCACCCACUCCCACUUCUUGGCCCUGGUGUUCCCCUGUAUUGGGGCAUAUAAAGUUUGAAAGCAAGCUUUGUAGAACACCAGCGACCCUCUCCUUGCACGGGGUGGAAUGGGCUUUUUUUUUUCCCACUCAGCACCAUGGUUUGAAGUGCCGCCUCUGUGAAUUAGAACUGUACAAAUGGUUUUAUUUUUAGUUUCCCUGCUUUGCAGCGACUUCUUUGUUGCAAGAAAGACAAAUGCUGGUUGCUAAGGAACAGCUACCUAACCUUAUGACCAAUACACACUAGCACUAGAGAUUCUUUCAUCCCCAUGUCGUUUCUGAAGGUAGGGAGGUUAUGAUACCAUUCAGGGUAGCUACCCUUAGAUGGGGCAGGUGAUCUGGGAGUCAAUCAGAGACUGUGGAAUUUCUCUCAGAAUAACUGGCAUCUUGCCAUAACCGAAGUUCAUUAACUCCGAGUCACAUGUCUAUAAACUGGUCUCACACUUAUGAGUAGUUAAUGAUAAAAAUCCUUUUAUUAGGAAGCAUCCAUUUAGAUAUAAGCACGUCUUUGUAUGCUCCUCUCAUCUCGUGGGCACUAAGCAGUUGUCUCUUUCUGUUUUCUGAUGGGAUGCUAAUCGCUCCCUCGUCUUGCUGGACCAAAUCCCUCUGAAAGGAACAGUUUGCUGCUAGAACAUUAGAGAACUUCCUGAAAGACAUCAGUUGCUUCAUUAGAGUUGGCGGUAGUCAGCAGCAUUAGAGAAUGCUCUCCCCUUUGGGUGCUUAACAUCUGAGUGUUUGGACCACUCUGGAUUCAGCUUGUAUCUUUAUUCACUAUGUCAACUCGCUGAGUUGCUUCCUUAAUUAAGUUGGUAGGUAAAGGGGCUUGCAUGAGAGCAAAACAAAACGGCAUCUCAGUUAACACAACAACAAAAAAUUAGGAAGGUCUUAUUUAUCUGGGGGAGAAAAUUUAGGAGAUGUGUGUGUGUGUGUGUGUGUGUGUGUGUGUGUGUGUGUGAGAGAGAGAGAGAGAGAGAGAGAUGGAAAAUAAGAAAGGAGGAUGCUAAGUGUCUUAAUAGUGCAUUUGUGUGGCAAAGGUAACUUUAACCUCAUUUGUAGGCAACCUUCUUCUGUUAGUUCAUGUGGGCAACAGAUUCAAUGUGGGGAUUACAAUCAUAGGCUUUGAUGCCUAGUCGAUGAGUUCAAGUUCUGAUUCUAUGGUGACUUGCUCUCUGAAUAUCAUGCUUAGCUACUAUGUGCCUCCAUUUUCUCAUUACUAAAGGUGACAUGAUCGCAUCCUUUAAGCUAGUGUUCAGUAAAUGCUGACAAGCUGACAGCCAUGACUUCAUGUAACAGCCAUUUAUUGAUGAUGCUAUCAUGAGAAAACAUAUUGACUUAAAAGACCUUUUUUACAAAAUAAAAUACACAAGUGCUCUGGUAGUUUUGUGCCAAUUUGACAGAAGCUAGAGUCCUUUCAGAAGAGGGAACGUUAAUUGAGAAAAUGCUCCCACUUGAUUGGCCCAUGACAAGCCUGUGGUGCAUUUUCUUGAUUGAAGAUUAACACGGGAGGGCGGAGCUCACUGCGAGUUGUGCCACCCCUGGUCCUGAGUGCUAUGGGAAAGCAGGCCUAGCAACCCACUAGAAGAAGCCAGUGUGUAUCACUCCUUCUUGGCUUCUGCAUCAGCUUCUGCUUCUGGGUUCUAGCCUUGAGUCCCUGCCCUGACUUCUUUUGGUGAUAGAGUAUGACCUGAGAGUUGUAAGAUGAAAUUUGAAAUGUAAAUAAAGAAAAUAUCCAUUAAAAAAAAGGAAAAGAAAAAAAGAACAUUCAAGUAAGAAUCAGCACUAGGUCUAUGGAACCCAUCGUGUAGAGAUCUCUUAUAUGCUGGCCCUAAAUAAAUGCAUUAACAACCCUUCAGCAGUUCAAAGGGCUUCCCAGCUAUUAUUCUAGCUGUGAUAUCGUGGGGAGUGCAGAGACAGCUCAGCAUUUGGAGGCCAGUUCUGCCUCAGGCACUUACUAGUAUUUUUAAUGUAUGAAGGAGGGUUGAGGCUUGGGGAGACAAUUUCCUUGGGUCUCACAAAACAGGAAUGGAGAGAUUUAGUCUGCCUGCCAUACAGAAUUAGAAGUCUUAAAUCUGAUCUAAGUUCAUAGUAUUGGCAACCAGAUCAUUACCUAGUCUAUACAUUAUGAAUAUAAAUAGCAUUUAUGCGGAUUGAAUGACGCUUUAAUGUUAUAACCCCAAGGACUUGCAAAAAUAUCAGACACUUUGGUUAACUUUGGUUUUAUAUCACAAUGAAAAUUAAAGUUUGCUUGAUU